rnacentral:rRNA from 1 species
AUGAGUUCAAUGGGAUACUAUCUCACCAAUGGAAUUUAUCCCAAGUGGGCAACUCUUGUGAAGUCCAUCAAGGAGAAAAAUAGGGUGCCCUUAACCAGAAAACAGGCACAUUUCACCAAGGCACAAGAGGCAGCCCACAAGGAUAUUGAGAGAGCUUUUGGUGUUUUGCAAGCAAGAUUUGCCAUAGUUUGGGGUCCAGCUCAUUUUUGGGACAAAAAACCUUGGAGAACAUCAUGA